UCUCCUGUUAGGACAGUGAACAAACUCUUUUGCUCAGUAGCCUUUCAUCAUUGUUCAAGGUUGGAGCAUACAGAGUGGGAGCUUUGCACCAUUUUUUUUUCUGCCAGGCCACAUGAAGUGUUUGACUAAAGGACCUUGGAUUCCUUGUAUACCUUGUCCGUCUUUACCCUGCAGAAGAUGCAUCCAUAGCAAAUUAAAUCUUUACCCGCUGACCAGCAGAACCUGGAGGUCCCGUUCGUCCUGGUCGCCCUGGCAGCCCAGGGAUACCAUCUGUUCCUGGAGGUCCCUAU